AACUUUAUUCUUCUAUUCCGACGAAGAGUAGCAAAAUAGUAUUUUGCAGCAAUUCCUUAUUCCAUGCUCAACAAGCAACCGUUCAUCCUUUUCAGUGUUCAUGAAAUGAUCCAUAAGAUGACUAGUUUUUGGCCGAUCCCACUUUAAACUUGACUCUGCCUGGUGUAACUCUGUGAUGCCAUCAUUUUCUUUUUACCCAUGUUAACUUUGUGUUAUUACAGAUAUGCCAUCAUUUUUACAAAGUAUAUAUACUGUAUUUUUUUAAAAUUUUUUUAUUCUUUGUUCUCCCUUCCCUCUUCCUUCUCGCUCUUAUCUCCGUCACUCGGUUAAUGACGACGGCGAGCUAUCCGUUCGAAAGCCGGCGAAUCGGACCUCACCGUUUCACCAAUCGUCUCCCUUUCAUCUUAGGAACAAGAAACACCAGUCGCAUAUCUCGAUUCGUUAGGGUUUCGACGAGGAUUUUCGAAAACUCCGACGUUUUUGUGACGAUUGCGGCGAAGAUCGGCGUCGAGGUUGGUCUCAAACUAUUCCUCAGAACGUCAGAGAGAAAGCGGGUGGGAUAUGAGCAGUAGGCGUUCUUACAAGAAUGAUGAAAAUUUGGCAGAAGACAGUAUAUGUUGAUGAGUUCGAGAAAAAGAAGAAGAUAGCAUCUCAUUUGAAAAGAGCAAUGAGUAAGAGUAAUUUUGGGAUAGCAUCUCAUUUGAAAAGAGCAAUGAGUAAGAGUAAUUUUGGGUCCAUCAAAAGUUCGAUCUCAUUGAUGCAAAGCUUGAAGAGCAUUAGAUGUGAGGAUCCAAGCAGUGUCCCGGUUGUGGACACAAAGCUCGAAGGAAAGCCGGUUAGAGCGGUCGAGGUUCAAAAGAUACUGGUAGAAUAGAACUCAGACCGGAAAACGAAGAAGAAAAAACGAAGUAGAAAGAAGAGUGAAGUACUUGGUGGCAAUAGAGAACAACGUCAAAAGUAACCAAGAUGCCUUUUCUAUGUAAUAUAUUCUACAAACAUCUUUUUUUUUUCCCUUAUUGAACAUAUGUAAUAGAUUUUGGUAUAUUUACUAUAUUUUGCACAUUUAAUCAGUUUUAAAACCCGCAGUAUUGCGCAGGCUAAAUUGCUAGUCAAGUCUAUAUGAAGGGGAAAAAUGUACAAACUUUUGAGAACCAAAAUUAAGUUUGGGAGAUA